rnacentral:tRNA from 1 species
GCUCCGUUGAUGUAAAGCGUAGCAUCGCUGCCCGGAAAACAGAAGGUGCAGGUUUGAGUCCUGCCCGGCGCA